UUUAUGUGAUUCAGAUACUAUUUCCGAGAUACCGCUCAGCUGCCUUUCCGAACAACACUCCUUACUACUCAUUUCAUUAAGAAUGGUGAAUUCAAAACUAUACCACGGGUUUGCGCUGUAGCUUCUUCCGUUGUUUGGACCACAACUCGUUUAAGGCUUUCCUUCCCUUAAUCCUGAUUGCCCUACCCUGGUAUAUCAAAAGGCGUAAUCAUACCUAGUUCUAGACUUUCUUGCUGCUUUCUUUCGCGCUCCACUCUCAUACCUAACUUAUCCUUUCAGUGCUGACCUUAGACUCUGGCUUGCUCGUACCUUCUCUAGCUUAUUAUGAUUUGCCUUGGAUACAUUCCUCUGCUCCCUAUUAUAAAGCCUAAAAGAAUGCAAUUUGAAGCUGG
rnacentral:lncRNA from 1 species